GGGGGGAGGCCGGAUCCUCGGCUGUGUCCCGGCACUCAGUGUUCUGGGUCCUGCCGUGUUGGAUUCGCGCUCCAGCCCCGCAGCCCCCU
rnacentral:pre_miRNA from 1 species